rnacentral:rRNA from 1 species
GAUGAGCGCUGGCGGCGUGCCUAAUACAUGCAAGUCGAGCGAACAGACGAGGAGCUUGCUCCUCUGACGUUAGCGGCGGACGGGUGAGUAACACGUGGAUAACCUACCUAUAAGACUGGGAUAACUUCGGGAAACCGGAGCUAAUACCGGAUAAUAUAUUGAACCGCAUGGUUCAAUAGUGAAAGACGGUUUUGCUGUCACUUAUAGAUGGAUCCGCGCCGCAUUAGCUAGUUGGUAAGGUAACGGCUUACCAAGGCAACGAUGCGUAGCCGACCUGAGAGGGUGAUCGGCCACACUGGAACUGAGACACGGUCCAGACACCUACGGGAGGCAGCAGUAGGGAAUCUUCCGCAAUGGGCGAAAGCCUGACGGAGCAACGCCGCGUGAGUGAUGAAGGUCUUCGGAUCGUAAAACUCUGUUAUUAGGGAAGAACAAAUGUGUAAGUAACUAUGCACGUCUUGACGGUACCUAAUCAGAAAGCCACGGCUAACUACGUG